AUUGAUGCGUUGCCACACUGCGCGAGGUCGAGAAGGAGAAGCAGAAGAAGAAGACAUCGACGACGUCUGCCACGCGCUUGCGGGUCGCGCUGAAUUCCGGGCCGCUGACCGAGAACCUUCGGGGCUGCAUUCCAGGAGAAACCCAGUUAGGCCCCGCCACCAUGGGGGAGUCUGGGACGGUGGGCUCCUCCACCGCUCUGACGUCAGGCUACACCGGAACGACUGGUGCAAGCUCAACGGCGGCUACAAGCUCGACCAGUAGGCAUGAGGAUCCUCCCAUCCACGGAGACCACGCCUCAGCACCGAGGCAGAGGCAUAAGAACCAUAGCAAGCAUGGCAGAGAAGGACAUCAUGG